rnacentral:lncRNA from 1 species
GCCUAAUGCAUCCUAAAUGUACUGUUGCAUAGGCCGUGGUUUAAACUAGUGUUUCUACAGCCUGAAAAGCUCAAAAACGAUGUUUUUUCUGUUUCUGCGUUGGUUUCUAACAAUACAGCUUAAGAUGGUCAUGUUCUGAUGCCAGGAACUUUAAAACAGCUCAAUACACCAUGAAAGCACAGUUACACUUGCCGUGGUUUAAACUAGUGUUCCUAUGUCCUGAAAAGCUCAAAAAAGAUGUUGUAGUGUUUCUGCAUUGGUUUCUAUGAGAACAGCCUCUACUGGUCAUGUUCUGAUGCCAGGCAACUUUAAAACAGCUCAAUACACCAUAAAAGCACAGUUACACUUGCCGUGGUUUAAACUAGUGUUCUUAAGUCCUGAAAAGCUCAAAAACGAUGUUUUAGUGUUUCUGCAUUGGUUUUUAAGUAUACAGUUUGUAAUGGUCAUGUUUUGAUGCCAGGUUACUUUAAAACAGCUCAAUACACCCUAAAAGCACAGUUACACUUGCCGUGGUUUAAACUAGUGUUCCUAUAUCCUGAAAAGCUCAAAAAAGAUGUUUUAGUGUUUCUGCAUUGGUUUCCAUCAAAACAGCCUCCAAUGGUCAUGUUCUGAUG